AGAGUUUGAUCAUGGCUCAGGACGAACGCUGGCGGCGUGCCUAACACAUGCAAGUCGAACGGUCCAGUUGAAAGAUUGGAUAGUGGCGGACGGGUGAGUAACGCGUGAGCAACCUACCUUAGAGAGAGGAAUAACGCAGGGAAACCUGUGCUAAUACCGCAUAACAUGCUACAGUCGCAUGGAAGUAGCAUCAAAGGAACGCAAGUUCCGCUUUAAGAUGGGCUCGCGUCCGAUUAGAUAGUUGGCGGGGUAACGGCCCACCAAGUCGACGAUCGGUAGCCGGACUGAGAGGUCGGCCGGCCACAUUGGGACUGAGACACGGCCCAGACUCCUACGGGAGGCAGCAGUGGGGGAUAUUAGGCAAUGGGGGAAACCCUGACCUAGCGACGCCGCGUGAAGGAAGAAGGUUUUCGGAUUGUAAACUUCUUUGACGAGGGACGAUAAUGACGGUACCUCGAGAACAAGCCACGGCUAACUACGUGCCAGCAGCCGCGGUAAUACGUAGGUGGCGAGCGUUGUCCGGAUUUACUGGGUGUAAAGGGCGAGUAGGCGGGACGGCAAGUCAGAUGUGAAAUACGGAGGCUCAACCUCCGGGCUGCAUUUGAAACAGCUGUUCUUGAGUGAUGGAGAGGUAAGCGGAAUUCCCGGUGUAGCGGUAAAAUGCGUAGAUAUCGGGAGGAACACCGGUGGCGAAGGGCGGCUUACUGGACAUCAACUGACGCUGAGGCGCGAAAGUGUGGGGAGCAAACAGGAUUAGAUACCCUGGUAGUCCACACUGUAAACGAUGGAUACUAGGUGUGGGAGGACUGACCCCUUCCGUGCCGGAGUUAACACAAUAAGUAUCCCACCUGGGGAGUACGGUCGCAAGAUUAAAACUCAAAGGAAUUGACGGGGACCCGCACAAGCAGUGGAGUAUGUGGUUUAAUUCGAUGCAACGCGAAGAACCUUACCAAGGCUUGACAUCCUACUAACGAAGUAGAAAUACAUUAGGUGCCCUUUUAGGGAAAGUAGAGACAGGUGGUGCAUGGUUGUCGUCAGCUCGUGUCGUGAGAUGUUGGGUUAAGUCCCGCAACGAGCGCAACCCCUGCUGUUAGUUGCUAACAGGUAAAGCUGAGCACUCUAGCAGGACUGCCGGUGACAAACCGGAGGAAGGUGGGGAUGACGUCAAAUCAUCAUGCCCUUUAUGAUCCGGGCUACACACGUGCUACAAUGGCCGGUACAGAGAGAAGCGAAGCCGCGAGGUGGAGCAAAUCUCAGAAAGCCGGUCACAGUUCGGAUUGCAGGCUGCAACUCGCCUGCAUGAAGGCGGAAUCGCUAGUAAUCGCGAAUCAGCACGUCGCGGUGAAUGCGUUCCCGGGCCUUGUACACACCGCCCGUCACACCACGAAAGUCGGCAACACCCGAAGCCGGUGGGCUAACCUAAAUAGGAGGCAGCCGUCGAAGGUGGGGUUGGUAAUUGGGGUGAAGUCGUAACAAGGUAACC
rnacentral:rRNA from 1 species